GCCAUAUUAGGAAGGUUGGAUUCCCCUCUCGGGUCUAGAAUUUACUUCUGCCAGAGAUGGGUAUUGAACCAAUGUAAUGUUUACACCCUACAAAUAUGGGAUGAAGUUGUAACAGAUACCUCGUUGGUAUAUUUGUGGUACCCCAGUAACUUGAAUGUAGAUCCAUAAACAGGCAGUUUGCUUUUGUCAACAACUGUGUAGCAUCAGUUGCUAUACCUCCAUCAUCUUUCAGUCAGUUUGUGCAACAGCCGUUAUGUGCAGAUGCACUGCUGUCAAAAGCUAUUCUAAGGUCAUUAUUUUGCAGAUCGAUUGGUGCUGCUGCAUCAUCAACAGGUCAGCCAAAAUGGUCACUUUUUGAACCAAUCAGCAACAUAACUGCUACCUCAGGUCCACACAACACACGAGUAUUGACUGACUGUCUUUCUUGCUAGUAAUUAUCAGGUGUCCAGCCUGGCGCAAUGAUGCAGGGCCCUGGUGACCAGUAAUUACUGGGUCUCUGUCAACAGUGGACAAAGCAACAAUGCAUGUCAGACCAUCUACAUCAUCAUCAAUUUGAAUAUAAUUUUCACUGGCAUCCCAGAUACCUAUUUCUUUACUACCCACAAGGGGCUAAACACAAAGGGGACAAACGGAUUAAGUCGAUUAUAUCGACCCCAGAUACCAUCAUACAGGAAAGCAACCAGGUUCAAUGCUCACAGCUUCAGCUUAAAGAACUUCAACUGACCUUACCCAGGAGCGACAACAAGCGCAUCGUACCCGUGUUUCACCGACAGCACAGUUGCUUGGCCUUUUCCAGUCAACAGCUUCCAACAUUGAACUUUUCCACCAGUAUGUAUCCUUUUCUUCUCAACACUAUACAAACACACGACACACAUACAGUUAUACCACGGGCAGCAGCUAAUGGCCACAUCUACUACAGCUUCUACACCAGUUAAAAGUUACCUUUUCACAGGUAGCACUCACAGAACUCUCUACCGACUCACAUGCGCAAAAGUACACAUCUGGCUCCAUGCCGGUGGCACAUAAAAGGACACCAUUCCAGCAUGAUCAUUACCAAUGUCGCCUUACUGGCACCUGUGCCGGUGGCAUGUGUAAAAAGAUUCAAGCAAGGUCAUUGCCAGUACCACCUGACUGGCCCAUGUGCCAGUGGCAUGUAAAAAGCACCCACUACACUCUCGGAGUGGUUGGUGUUAGGAAGGGCAUCCAGCUGUUGAUUGGAGCCUGGUGCAGCCAUCUGGUUCGCCAACCCUCAGUCAAAAUCGUCCAACCCAUGCUAGCAUGGAAAGCAGACGUUAAACGAUGAUGAUCCUGCAGAUUUACUUGCACUGGCAUGGCUGUGUGGUAAGGAGCUUGCUUUCCAACCACAUGGUUCCAGGUUCAGUCCCACUGCAUGGCACCACCUUCAGCGAGUGUCUUCUACCAUGGCCUUGGGCCAACCAAAGUCUUGUGAGUUGGAUUGGGUAGAUGGAAACUGAAAGAAGCCUGUCAUAUAUAUGUGUACAUCUAUGUCUUUGUAUCUGUGUUUAUCCCCUACCAUCACUGCUCGACAACCGGUGUUGGUGUGUUUAUGUCCCCAUAACUUAGCAGUUCAGCAAAAGAGCCUGAUAGAAUGAGUACCAGGGUUUAAAAAAAAAAGAAAGAAAAACCUAGAGUCGAUUUGUUUGAUGAAAAGCCCUUCAUGGCAGUGCCCCAGCAUGGCCACAGUCAAGUGACUGAAACAAGUAAAAGAUCAGACCUAUCACAAUUAUGAUGCAGACCCUCUUGCAUCUGGCAUGCACUGAAAUGGUAAAUGGUGUAUGUUUGUGUCAUUAUAUUUAAAUAAGUCUUAAGAAGGAAAAGGUUGAAAGUCUCAGCUCGCUCACAUCAGACAGUCUGAGAAAAGGAAGCAAGCCAAUCUUUCAAAGUCACUGUCAACUUUUUCCUUUACUCUUACUCUCUCUUACUCUUUUACUUGUUUCAGUCAUUUGACUGCGGCCAUGCUGGAGCACCGCCUUUAGUCGGGCAAAUCGACCCCGGGACUUAUUCUUUGUAAGCCCAGUACUUAUUCUAUCGGUCUCUCUUUUGCCGAACCGCUAAGUGACGGGGACGUAGACACACCAGCAUCGAUUGUCAAGCAAUGCUAGGGAGACAGACACACAAACACACACACAUAAUACAUAUAUAUAUAUAUACAUAUAUACGACAGGCUUCUUUCAGUUUCUGUCUACCAAAUCCUCUCACAAGGCAUUGGUCGGCCCGAGGCUAUAGCAGAAGACACUUGCCCAUGGUGCCACGCAGUGGGACUGAACCCGGAACCAUGUGGCUGGUUAGCAAGCUACUUACCACACAGCCACUCCUGCGCCUUUGUUAACAUUUAAUAAAUAUUUACUAAAAGCUAUUCAGUUAUCCUUCACUUUAAUAUUGAAUUGUUUUUAUGUAUAACUUCACACACACACACAUAUAUAAAUCAUCACUGUCCUCUUACAUCCACUUUUCAUGCUGGCAUGAGUUAGAGGAGUUGUCACAGUUGAGGUUCUUUCUUAUUACUAGUCCCUAUUGUUCUCAUUGUCGGGUGCUGUUGCAUAUGUCACUUUGGUUUGGUUUCUACAAACUAGAGGCCCUUCCAACUGCAAACCACUUUAUAUACAGUCCUGGCAUCACCACUAGAAAGUUUGGUAAAUCCUCAGCAAAAUUGCACUAAAGGGACCUCACAAUUCUAUGCUUUCUCUCCUCAUUUCCCAUCCACUUUACAAUGCAUGCUGGGUAUGUUUUUGUUUUGUAAUACCGGCACCAGAGAGGUUCUCAAGUCCUCUGUAGGACAGGACAAAGGAACAUCUCAACUCCACUUUGUCUUUGCUUGAUCAUCAAUCCCUUUAGAGCAGAGUUUCUCGACCACUCUUUACCUAUGGGCCCCUUUGAUUCCUGUUUCACUUGGAUGUAGCCAUCCGAUGCUGAAAAAAAAUCAUUUUUUUAUAAUUAAAUAUUAUUAGGAAUUGUAUGAACAAAAUCGUUAAAAUAUUUUGUGUAUUGUACAAGUAUAACCAAUUUCAUCAUCAUCAUCAUUUAACGUCCGUUUUCCAUGCUGGCAUGGGUUGGACAGUUCAACUGGGGUCUGGAAAGCUGGGAGGCUGCACCAGGCCCCAAUCUGAUCUGGCAGUGUUUCUACAGCUGGAUGCCCUUCCUAACGCCAACCACUCUGAGAGUGUAGUGGAUGCUUUUUGUAUGCCAAAUAUAACAAAUGUUAAAUGAAAGAGUACUCUCAUUUGCUGUGUGUAAAUGAUAUAAAUAUUUUAAAGAUGUCCUUUAAACAAUACAAACGAGAAAUUAGGCAAAAUAUAUAAAAUGAUGUCUAAAAAAACAAGAUAUUAUAUCAACCUAUGUAGAUUGUUGAAUGUUUGCAUUAUAUUUUGGGAAAUCUUCCUUUUGUCAGUUAAGACGCAGAAAAUAAUGCAAGAGUUUGGAGAACAAUUCUUAUUUUUGGCCAACCAUUUUGGUGUUGGGAAUGGAUUCUUGGAUUAUUUUCUGGUCCUUGUCUUUAGUCACAUCACCUUCCAUAUUUUACCUGACUUCUCACCUGCAUUGUUUAAAGAGCCUUUUAAAAAUAUAUCGUUUACAAUUGUUGAAUAUUAACCAGUAGUUUUGGGUUUUAAUGAACUGAAUUAACAAAUACCCAACAAAUUAUACAUCACCCCCACCCCCACCCCACACACACACACGUGCUCUCUUUCUCUCUCUUUCUCUCUUAAACUAUAGUAAAAUCAACUGACUGAAAGGCAAGCUUUCACUCCCCGACAUGAAACUCGGCCUGUUAUCAGUCUAAAGAUCUCUUCUACAAAGUCCUCUAAACUUGUUGACUGUGUUCUGUUUUCACUUAAACUCCCUUCCCACAGACACAUCCUACAUGUCUUGUGUUUUCCCAAACACAAUGACACGGUGGCUAUUCUAUAUGACUAUUAACAUUUUCAAACUCAUUUGCAUAUCCUGAUUUCCCAGUCAAAGCAAACUGUAAAUAAAUAUUGUCAUUGAGAAUAUCUCACCCGUUUUCUUCUGCAAUUUCCUUUGGACACAGCCAAUCGUAGGAGACAUUGAGCUUAAACUAGGUAUCCUGAUUUUUUCUAACAAGAACGUAUGUUCCUAGAUGGGCAGGGAGCAAACUGUUUUUACAGAGAAAUAAACAAUUGCAAUAUCAUCGAAUCUCUUUAUGGUGGCAAACUGGCAGAAUUAUUAGCACGCUGGUUGAAGUGCUCAGCAGUAUUUCAUCUGCCAUUGCGCUCUGAGUUCAAAUUCCAUCAAGGUCGACUUUGCCUUUCAUCCUUUCGGGGUCGAUUAAAUAAGUACCAGUUACGCACUGGAGUCGAUGUAAUCGACUUAAUCCCUUUGUCUGUCCUUGUUUGUCCCCUCUAUGUUUAGCCCCCUGUGGGCAAUAAAGAAAUAGAUAUUAUUCAAUCUUUUGAACUAAAUCCAUGUACUUUUAUUUUUAUCAUUGGAGAAAAAAGAGCCAUCUGAAUGUGGCCAAUGCCAGGGCUGCCUAGAUGGCUUCUGUGCCAGUGCCCAACCAAUUGUGGCCAUUGUCAGCCUCCUCUGGCUCCUAUGCCUGUAGCACGUAAAAAGCACCCACUACACUCACGGAGUGGUUGGCAUUAGGAAGGGCAUCCAGCUGUAGAAACACUGCCAGAUCAGACUGGAGCCUGGUGCACCCUCCUGGCUUACCGGAUCCCAGUCGAACUAUCCAACCCAUGCCAGCAUGGAAAACGGACGUUAAAUGAUGAUGAUGAAGUUACAAGAAAAAAGACCACGUGCACCCAGACUAUUGUUGUGUGUGUGUGUAAAGCAUAAAGUUAGAGAUGAGAGUGAGAGAUGAAUAGAGAUAUAUUCUUCCAUAUUUCUGCUGCCAUUUUAUAACCUUCUUUGUGUAGUUUUAUCAAUUUUGGUUUGCAAAAUUAUACCCAGUUGUUUACACGUAUGCUCAACAUUGUGGCUAUGUGGUAAGAGGUUUGCUUCCCAACCACAUCUAUGUGUGUGUGUGUCUUUAUGUCUGUGUUUGUCCCUCGCCACUGCUUGACAACCGACGUUGGUGUGUUUAUGUCCCUGUAACUUAGUGGUUCAGCAAAAGUGACCAAUAGAAUAAAUCCAGGCUUAAAAAAGAUACAUAGCAGAGUCAAUUCAUUCAGCUAAACAUUGAAGGUGGUGCCCCAGCAUGGUCGCAGUCUAAUGACUAAAACAAAAACGGUAAAAGAUACAAUUGUUUAUUCACAGACUGAUGCAAAUAAGGCUAAUUCCUCAUCUCAUUGUAUCUCCUUCCUCAGCUUAUAAAACCCACACCUGAUAUGUGUCUUGUCUUAUUUAAUGACUGAGUUUCCCCUAAGAAACUUUUUUCUUUUAAUUAUCCAAAUAAGGCUAAUUCCUCAGAUCAUUGGAUCAGCAAAGCCAUCACUCGAUGCAGUGUCCAUUGCAACAGAGACAUUUACACAACUUCGGAAACCCUCUUUGAAAACAAUUCACCUCUGCACAAUUGGACCCACCCCUUCUCAGCCACAUUGACCUCACCUGUGUCAAUAAAUUGUUGUUCGCAAACACUGUCCUUCAUUGGACUGAAUGAAGGAAAGUGAGCGGCUGUGCAUCCAUCAUGGGGAACCACUGACCAGUCCUCUUUGUCAUUUCCCUGUUGCCAAAGAUGUGUGCUGGUUGUACAUUCUCCUGGUGAAUAUGGAUCGCUUUCAGAUUAUUGUUUGGUCUCUCAACCCUUUCGUUACUGUAUUUAUUUUGAGAUGCUCUCUGUUUCUUUCAAUUACUUUAAAUAUAACAAAGAAUUUGGUUAUCAUUCAGCUAGUGCUAGGAACAUAAAUUGUGACUAAGGUUUGGUGGAAGAUUUUAAUUCAAAACUUAUGAAAACAAGACAUUUGUACUCAGAGCCAGAGGAGGUUUGAGCCGGGUUGGUAACAAAAGGGUUAAUGGCUUCUCUCAACCUUUUGACUGCCUCAAUGUACUGCUCACCGUUCGUGGUGUAGCGACAUUCCAGGCAGUCAAGAGGAAUCACACCAUUGUCAUCCUAAAAAAAAAACAGUAUCAUGAGUUUCUCUGAUGUUCAUUGGUUCUUGAAAGGGAACAAGAUGUGUGACAUCAUUCUAUGGGACUCUAAAUUUGUUUCUGGAUCAUAUAGAUACACCUACAUUUCACCUCCUGUAACCAGACUGAAAAAAUGUCUGCAAUAGUUUCAAAGACUUUCAGUAGAUCAGAGCAGGCAGCUACCCUUUUCUCCUUCAAAUUGGAUGUCAGCUGCUAGGGUAGACAUUUGCCCAUUCAAAAUCUUCCAGCAAUUUCUCUUAUACAUUGUGACUAAUGAUCCUGUCGUACUGCAGGCUCACAGGUUGUGAGCCAUCUGUCUACUUAAAUCAUUUCAUCCAUUUGCUGGUGAUUCAUGCGAGUGGUUGCAGUUGGUUGUCUCCUGCUGGUUUCCCUUCCUUUAAGCCUCUCCAUCCAUCUGUUUAUAUCGCUCUUGUCAGUGCUGUCAUCUCUGCAAACAGCCCAUUGGAAUCUGUGGGUGUCAGACAGACUAAUCCUUUAUUUGCUUACAAUAGAAGGAGAGUUACGUUACCAAUAUGUUCAAUUUGAAUGACAGUAAAAUAGUUAUGUCAACUUGUGCUUUACUUUCAGUCUGUGUGUGUCUAGGUCAUCUCCUGCAAGCAUGGAAAAGUGAAUGUUAAAAGGAUGGUGAUAAAGAUGUGUGUGUGUGUCCUUUUUAUUUAUAUGUAAGUGUCCCAUCUACUGAAGUUGGACAUCUGUCGAGGCAGAAACACGUCCAUGUCUCUCCCCUUUUCUCCAGACAAACAGACCAUCUUUUACUUAGUAGCUUGUCAGUUUUGAAGAAUGCACAUCUACAUGUCUCAUUCCGCUGGGGUUACAGAAGGACAACUGCUGUGCUGAUGAUGCUUAAAGCAGUAGAAACACAUCUCCCCAGCCGUCCUUUUGUCUCCAGGCAAUCAUACUGUGUUUCCUUUAAUGGCUUGUUUAGUUUUCAAGAAUUCUUGAUUUUCCUAAAAAAAUUACCCCCUCAUUUGGAAUUGGUCCCCAGUUACCACAAUGAUUAUUCUAUCUUCUCUGGAGGCAGAGAUGAUUUCCAUAGAUCAAGAAAUUUAUCUGGUAUGCUGUUUAAUAAACUUUUAUUUGCCUUUCUUGUUCAAAUAUAUACUCCUGGCCACUCACAGUUACUUAUCUCUUUUGUUUCUUGCAGCCAUUAAUUGAGACACGUUUUUUUUUUUUCUCUGCUUGUUCCUUCUUGUUGAACAAUGUAGGCUCAAAAUAUCACAGACUCUUCCAUUUUACUUGAGCAUCAAACUAAUACACCUUGUUUGUGGAGGCGCAAUGGCCCAGUGGUUAGGACAGCGGAAUCGCGGUCGUAGGAUCGCGGUUUCGAUUCCCAGACCGGGCGUUGUGAGUGUUUAUUGAGCGAAAACACGUAAAGCUCCACGAGGCUCCGGCAGGGGAUGGUGGUGAUCCCUGCUGUACUCUUUCACCACAACUUUCUCUCACUCUUACUUCCUGUUUCUGUUGUACCUGUAUUUCAAGGGGCCGGCCUUGUCACUCUCUGUGUCACGCUGAAUAUCCCCGAGAACUACGUUAAGGGUACGCGUGUCUGUGGAGUGCUCAGCCACUUACACGUUAAUUUCACGAGCAGGCUGUUCCAUUGAUUCGGAUCAACCGGAACCCUCAUCGUCGUAACCGACAGAGUGCUUCCCCCAAUACACCUUGUUUGUCGUUGCGUCACCUGUCUCUGUUUUUUGUCUUUUUGUACAAUUUAGACCCACAUACAUACUUUCUUUUAUUCUUUUAUUUGUUUCAGUCAUUUGACUGCAGCCAUGCUGGAGCACCGCCUUUAGUCGAGCAAAUCAACCCCAGGACUUAUUCUUUGUAAGCCUAAUACUUAUUCUAUCAGUCUCUUUUGCCAAACCGCUAAGUGACAGGGAUGUAAACACACCAGCAUCAGUUGUCAAGUGAUGGUGGGGGACAAACACAAAUAUAUAUAUAUAUAUAUAUAUAAAUCAAAGUCAAAAUCAAACUCGGUGACUGGCAUCCAUUGCUAGUGGAGCACUAAGAGUACCAUACAAGUGAGAUCGUUGCCAGAGCAACAAGCUGGCCUUCGUGCUGAUGGCACAUUAAACACACCAUUCGAGCGUGAUCGUUACCGCGUCACCUUACAAGCACUUGUGCUUGUGGCAUGUGAAACAUUUGAGCAAAGUCGUCACCAGUGCCACUGGACUGGCUCCUGUGCAGGUGGCACGUAAAAAGCACCAUUUGGGCGUGGCCAUUGCCAGUACCACCAAACUGGCUCUCGUGCCGGUGGCACGUAAAAGCACCCACUACACUCUCUGAGUUGUUGGCGUUAGGAAGGGCAUCCAGCUGUAGAAACUCUGCCAGAUCAGAUUGGAGUCUGGUUCGCCAGACCUCAGUCAAAUCGUCCAACCCAUGCUAGCAUGGAAAGCGGACAUUAAAUGAUGAUAUAUAUAUAUAUAUAUAUAUACACACACGACGGGCUUCUUUCACUUUCCGUCUACCAUAUCCAUUCACAAGGCUUUGGUCGGCCUGAGGCUAUAGUAGAAGACACUUGGCCAAGGUGGCACGCAGUGGGACUGAACCCAGAAUUGUCUGGUUGGUAAGCAAGCUACUUACCACACAGCCAGUCCUGAGCCUAUAUAUAUUUAGAUCAGUUCAACUCUGUUUGGGACAUAUUUCACUUGUAAAAAAAAAAAAGGUCUUUUUGCUGUAAUUUACAAGGGAGAAAGAUUCUCACUUAUGGCAAAAGGUGUAAGCACACCAAAGUCAGUUGAGACCACUUCCUAUGUGGUGCUAGAUGCAUUUUGAGCUUUUUGUACCAGUUACCUAUUGGGGUGAGACACUCUGAGCUGACUUUGCUGCGUUUAUUACAUUUUUUACCUAAAACAUGAAUUUUUCUCCAUACCAAACAGCAGUGAAAAUACCUUGUUUACAGUUUUAAUAUAUCCCAAACAUGAUGUCCCCUACCCAUACCCUCUUGCAAAUCCCCACCCACACACACAUUCCUACCUUCUCUGUCCUCACUCACUUCUCCUCACCUCAUACCUUGAGCUGUCACCUGGACACUUCUUUGCCUUUGUCUAUCUCCUUGGAAAUGUCUCCAAUUCAUUUUCACUCUCUCCUAAAUCUGAUUAGGCAUGUAACUCCUUUACAAGACGACCCUAACCCUAACCUCAACCUUUUCUCUUUUUACCUUAACCCACCCAUCCCAAUCUAGUACCUCACUUUACAAGAACCUGCUUUUUGAGACCCCGGGUUUACAAGUUUUAUUUCGCAGCUCACUUUUGUAUGGUGAACUGAAAUUCUUCAAGCACAAAAUCCAAAUUUUGAACCAAGUGCAAGAGUUUCUGCUACCAUAACAAAUUCUUCUGCAUGUUACCAAGAAAUUUAUGGAGAGCAGAAAAAAGUUUCUUCUAAGCAAACAAUUCUAGACUUGUUUUUUUUUUAAAAGAAAUCUACAAGUAAUGGUGUGCACAAGUCUAAUGCAAGAGAAAGGGAUUCAAAAAACGAUAUUAAUAAUAAUGUUUAUUUUUAUCAUAAAUGAUCUUGACAUUCUUUUUACUUUGCAUAAAAUAUUCUUUACAUUCUUUUGUUGUUUUAUUGCCAUUUAUUUACAAGUAUUAUAAAUUUUAUUGGUAAAAUAUUUUUCUGGGAACAAAUUACGAUUUAAAACGUUGCCACUAUGGGAAGUCAUUGCUCUGCUUUACUAGUUUUUGCUUUAUGAGAGAUCUCCGGGAAUGAAUCAACUUGUCUAUCAAGGAAUGACUGUAUUAGGAUGCACCCCUCCCCCUUUCUCUGGUUAUGUACACUUGCAAGCUGAAUGGCAAGCUCAAUAGUGCCAGUGGCACAAAAAUGGGGCACAAUACACACUGUAAAGUGGUUCGCAUUGAGAAAAACAUCCAAGCCUAGACACCAUGUCAAAGCAGACACUGGAGCAGAAUGCAGUUCUUGGACUCUUUGGAUCCUAUCAAAUCAUCCAACCGGUGCCUGUAUGGAACAUGGACAUUAAGUGAUGGUGAUAGUAUGUGUGUGCGGGCAUGUGUUGGAAAGAGGACCUCCUGCACCUCAUCCAAUCCCUUUCUCAGUAUGUAAACAUGCCUUAAACCUAUAUUUGUCAAAUUAAUCUCUGUUGAAAUUAUUAUCAUUUUCACAUUUAUCUGGUACAGGCAAAUUGCUUCCCAAUCACAUAGUUUUUGGUUCAGUUCCAUUGCAUGGCACCAUCAGCAAUUGUCUUCUACUACAACCCCAGGCUGACUGAAGCCUUGUGAGCAGAUUUAAGAGUUGGAAAUUAAAAGUGUACAUCUGUGUGUGUGUUUGUCCUUGCCUUGACAUCAUGUAAUAGUUGUAAACAAGACUCCUCGUCAUACAAGCAUUUGUCCAGUCUUCUAUGGAAACAUGUCUGAGCAAGUAGAAACUUGGAAACAGGAGAGGAUUAACACGGAAAAUCUGCCUCAAUAAAUUCCACCCAACCCAAGCAAGCAUGGGAGGCUGGACAUUAAAGUCACGAUGAAGAUGAUGUGUGUGUGUAUCUUUUAUCAUUUAUUGUGUUGUCUGGAAAGUUUGUGCCGAUUUAUAGUAGCUUACCUUUCGACUUAUUUUAGAACAUGGUUGAGUCCAUAAAAUAGGAUUUGACUACACCUCCAUUUAGAGCACAGUUUAAGCUAUCUUUUCGUGCAAGAAGGUUUAUGUUCCUAUAACCUGUGUUAAUUUUGUAACCCUUUAAAAUGGAAGAUAAGAAAGUUCAUUUUCAGCACUUGAUGCUUUGGGAACCAGGCAAAAAUUGCUGCAGCUCGGCUGGAAUGUGUUACCCCACCCUCCAUAUUCACCAGAUAUUGCUCCUUUGGAUUUCCACUUAUUCAGGUCUCUGCAGAAUAGUCUUAAGGGUAAAAAUUCCAAUUCCUUGGGUGACGUAAAAAGAUACCUUGAUGAAUUCUUUGCCAUGAAACCACCUCAAUUCUGGGAAGAAGGUAUUUUCAAGUUAAAGGAAAGAUGGAGACACAUUGUGCAACAAAAUGGUUCAUAUUCGGUUGAUUAAAAAUGUUAUGGCAAGUAUUUAUUGACCUUUUUCUUUCCUUUAGAAAUCUGCAUGAACUUUCCAGACAACCCAAUACUUUGUUUCAGUCAUUGACUGUGUCCAUGCUGGGGCAUGCUGCUUUUGAGAGCAAUUAUCUACAGUGCUUCUUUCUUUCUCUUUUCUUUUUUUUCUCAAAGCCUGCUGCUUAUUCUGUUGGUCCCUUUUGCUGAACUGCUAAGUUUACAGCGAUGUAAACACACUAAUACCAGUUGUUUAAUGACCCAAAGACACACACACGCGCACAUAUAAGGAGCUUCUUUCAGUUUCCAUCUUCCAAAUCCAAAAGGCAGCGAGCUGGCAGAAACGUUAGCACGCCAGGUGAAAUGCGUAGCCGUAUUUCAUCUGUCGCUACGUUGUGAGUUCAAAUUCCGACAUGGUCGACUUUGCCUUUCAUCCUUUCGAGGUCGAUAAAUUAAGUACCAGUUACGCACUGAGAGCGAUGUAAUCGACUUAAUCUGUUUGUCUGUCCUUGUUUGUCCCCUUUGUGUUUAGCCCCUUGUGGGUAGUAAAGAAAUAGGUAUUUCGUCUUCCAAAUCCACUCAAGGCUUUGAUAUAGAUGUAUGAAUGCAUCCGUGUGUGCCAUCAUCGUUCUGCUUUUGCAUGUUGUUACAGGUCAGACAAGAGUGCACAAGACAGAGUUUCUUUGGCGAUGCACCAACCCUGCCGCCUGCAUCCAAACAAGGUCAUAACCUCCCAGUCUUUUCAACAACAAACAACCAGGAUGUGGUUUGUGUGCUGAACUGGAAACAAACCUCACUGUAUGAAUGAGCCUUUUGUUAACAAAGAUUGCACAACAUGUCAAGAAGUGGACUGCAAGCACAGGACACUGUCUGUAUGAAGAAUGAGACUUGUUUAAUCAGUGGCCCAGCACAACAUUGGUAGGAGAUAGAAACUCUCUCACACAAAUGCUUAUCCAUGUGUGACAUUGAUGAACAUGAAAAUCUCAGUGUAGCAUAAGCUUAACCCUUUUGUUGCCAUAUUUCUGUUGAGAUGUUCUGUGUUUCUUUCAAUUAAUUUUAAAUAAAACAACAAAUUUAGUAAAAUAACUUAGUUAUCAUUAAGCUAGUGUUAGGAACACAAAUUGUGACUAAUGUUUGGUGGAAAAUUUUAAUUCAAAUCUUAGGAAAACAAAUUGUGACUAAUGUUUGGUGGAAAAUUUUAAUUCAAAUCUUAGGAAAACAAAUUGUGACUAAUGUUUGGUGGAAAAUUUUAAUUCAAAUCUUAGGAAAACAAAUUGUGACUAAUGUUUGGUGGAAAAUUUUAAUUCAAAUCUUAGGAAAACAAAUUGUGACUAAUGUUUGGUGGAAAAUUUUAAUUCAAAUCUUAGGAAAACAAAUUGUGACUAAUGUUUGGUGGAAAAUUUUAAUUCAAAUCUUAGGAAAACAAAUUGUGACUAAUGUUUGGUGGAAAAUUUUAAUUCAAAUCUUAGGAAAACAAGACAUUUCUACUCAGAGCCAGACCCGGUUUCAGCUGGGUUAGUAACGAAAGGGUUAAUAUUUGUUACAAUUCUUUCAGCACUGCUCCACUUGGAACCAUUCUACACUUAAAUAAUUGUGUGACAAAUUAUACAAGACUUCUAUGAAUUUACCUAUUAUUAACAUAGGAAGAGUGGGGAAUAUAUAUAUAUACACGCACACGUGUGCAUUCAGUCGUGGCUGUAUAGUAAGAAAUUCGCUUUCCAAUCACAAAGAUUUGGGUUCAGUCCCUUUGUGUGGCACCUUGGGCAAGUAUCUUCUACUAUUGUGUCGAGGCAACCAAAGCCUUGUUAGUGGAAUUGGUAGGUGGAAACAGAAAGAAAUCUGUCAUAUAUAUAUAUACAGGGUGUGUAAGGUAUUCGAGGACAUGUCUUUUUGGGAUUGUUGCUGCAGUUUUUGCUAACUCUGUAUAAUCUUUAUUCCAGAACAUAAUAAUGGCAGACACUCAGCUUACUCAAGAAAGGAAGAAGCAUGCUGUUAAUGUGGUU
rnacentral:lncRNA from 1 species